GGCAGACGUUGUAGGGUGUUAACACCUUCCCUACACGUAACCGACUCCCGAACCUAAAAUCUCGUUUUUGCAGACUAUGCCUUAUCAUUUUAUGGUUUUUUUCCAUAGUUUUCCAUAAUAAACUAUGGUGGCGACUCCAAAUCUUUUUUUUCGAAAAUCUCGAUUUGUCGAUUUUUUUUGGAUCGUCGUCUGUCGCGAUUCCGUUUCGACAGAUGGUGACUCCCAAUUUUGUCCGGUGACUAAAUAAUAGGACUUGCUUUUAUUUUUUUAAUUUUUAUUUUGUUUUAUUGUUUUUAUUUUUAGUUUAUUAUUUAGUGUUUGGUUUAGUUUAAUUUUCAUUGUUUAAUUUUUGUUUUGUUGUAUUUUAUUUUACUUUAUUUUAGUUUUUAUAUAUGAUUAAAAAAA
rnacentral:lncRNA from 1 species